UGGGGAAUUUUGGACAAUGGGCGCAAGCCUGAUCCAGCCAUGCCGCGUGCGGGAAGAAGGCCUUCGGGUUGUAAACCGCUUUUGUUCGGGAAGAAAUUGACCGGGUUAAUACCCUGGUUAGAUGACGGUACCGGAAGAAUAAGCACCGGCUAACUACGUGCCAGCAGCCGCGGUAAUACGUAGGGUGCGAGCGUUAAUCGGAAUUACUGGGCGUAAAGCGUGCGCAGGCGGUUUCGCAAGUCAGAUGUGAAAGCCCCGGGCUCAACCUGGGAACUGCAUUUGAAACUACGAGGCUAGAGUGUGUCAGAGGGGGGUAGAAUUCCACGUGUAGCAGUGAAAUGCGUAGAGAUGUGGAGGAAUACCGAUGGCGAAGGCAGCCCCCUGGGAUAACACUGACGCUCAUGCACGAAAGCGUGGGGAGCAAACAGG
rnacentral:rRNA from 1 species